AUUGAACGCUGGCGGCAUGCUUUACACAUGCAAGUCGAACGGCAGCGCGGGCUUCGGCCUGGCGGCGAGUGGCGAACGGGUGAGUAAUGCAUCGGAACGUGCCCAGUAGUGGGGGAUAGCCCGGCGAAAGCCGGAUUAAUACCGCAUACGACCUGAGGGUGAAAGCGGGGGACCGAAAGGCCUCGCGCUAUUGGAGCGGCGGAUGGCGGAUUAGCUAGUUGGUGGGGUAAAGGCUUACCAAGGCGACGAUCCGUAGCUGGUCUGAGAGGACGACCAGCCACACUGGGACUGAGACACGGCCCAGACUCCUACGGGAGGCAGCAGUGGGGAAUUUUGGACAAUGGGGGCAACCCUGAUCCAGCCAUGCCGCGUGCGGGAAGAAGGCCUUCGGGUUGUAAACCGCUUUUGUUCGGGAAGAAAUCCUCUGGGCUAAUACCCCGGGGGGAUGACGGUACCGGAAGAAUAAGCACCGGCUAACUACGUG
rnacentral:rRNA from 1 species